CUACACAGUUCUGAUGUUCAACAACAAGAAAGAACACUGUGUAAGAAGUGGCCUUAUUAAAAUCAGCCAAACAAAGUAUGCCUUUUCCUGUCGGUACAUAAGAAUGGUGCAGAUGGCAGAUUAUAUGAUCCUGGACAAAGAGACCAAAAAGUCCCAUCCUCACUCAUCUUUGGGAGAUGAAGCAGGAGAAAAAGCAAAGAAAAAUAUUGUGAAAGAACAUAGGGG
rnacentral:lncRNA from 1 species